rnacentral:rRNA from 1 species
AACGAACGCUGGCGGCAGGCUUAACACAUGCAAGUCGAACGCCCCGCCAGGGGAGUGGCAGACGGGUGAGUACCGCGUGGGAACAUACCCUUUUCUACGGAAUAGCUCUGGGAAACUGGAAUUAAUACCGUAUACGCCCUACGGGGGAAAGAUUUAUCGGGGAAGGAUUGGCCCGCGUUGGAUUAGCUAGUUGGUGGGGUAAAGGCCUACCAAGGCGACGAUACAUAGCUGGUCUGAGAGGAUGAUCAGCCACAUUGGGACUGAGACACGGCCCAAACUCCUACGGGAGGCAGCAGUGGGGAAUAUUGGAAAAUGGGCGCAAGCCUGAUCCAGCCAUGCCGCGUGAGUGAUGAAGGCCUUAGGGUUGUAAAGCUCUUUCACCGAUGAAGAUAAUGACGGUAGUCGGAGAAGAAGCCCCGGCUAACUUCGUG